CUAUCAUUAACUGAAUCCAUAGGUUAAUGAGGCGAACCGGGGGAACUGAAACAUCUAAGUACCCCGAGGAAAAGAAAUCAACCGAGAUUCCCCCAGUAGCGGCGAGCGAACGGGGAGGAGCCCAGAGCCUGAAUCAGCAUGUGUGUUAGUGGAAGCGUCUGGAAAGGCGCGCGAUACAGGGUGACAGCCCCGUACACAAAAGCGCAUGUGCUGUGAGCUCGAUGAGUAGGGCGGGACACGUGGUAUCCUGUCUGAAUAUGGGGGGACCAUCCUCCAAGGCUAAAUACUCCUGACUGACCGAUAGUGAACCAGUACCGUGAGGGAAAGGCGAAAAGAACCCCGGCGAGGGGAGUGAAAAAGAACCUGAAACCGUGUACGUACAAGCAGUGGGAGCACCCUUUGGGUGUGACUGCGUACCUUUUGUAUAAUGGGUCAGCGACUUAUAUUCUGUAGCAAGGUUAACCGAAUAGGGGAGCCGGAGGGAAACCGAGUCUUAACCGGGCGUUAAGUUGCAGGGUAUAGACCCGAAACCCGGUGAUCUAGCCAUGGGCAGGUUGAAGGUUGGGUAACACUAACUGGAGGACCGAACCGACUAAUGUUGAAAAAUUAGCGGAUGACCUGUGGCUGGGGGUGAAAGGCCAAUCAAACCGGGAGAUAGCUGGUUCUCCCCGAAAGCUAUUUAGGUAGCGCCUCGUGAAUUCAUCUCCGGGGGUAGAGCACUGUUUCGGCUAGGGGGCCAUCCCGGCUUACCAACCCGAUGCAAACUGCGAAUACCGGAGAAUGUUAUCACGGGAGACACACGGCGGGUGCUAACGUCCGUCGUGAAGAGGGAAACAACCCAGACCGCCAGCUAAGGUCCCAAAGUCAUGGUUAAGUGGGAAACGAUGUGGGAAGGCCCAGACAGCCAGGAUGUUGGCUUAGAAGCAGCCAUCAUUUAAAGAAAGCGUAAUAGCUCACUGGUCGAGUCGGCCUGCGCGGAAGAUGUAACGGGGCUAAACCAUGCACCGAAGCUGCGGCAGCGACACUGUGUGUUGUUGGGUAGGGGAGCGUUCUGUAAGCCUGCGAAGGUGGCCUGUGAGGGUUGCUGGAGGUAUCAGAAGUGCGAAUGCUGACAUAAGUAACGAUAAAGCGGGUGAAAAGCCCGCUCGCCGGAAGACCAAGGGUUCCUGUCCAACGUUAAUCGGGGCAGGGUGAGUCGACCCCUAAGGCGAGGCCGAAAGGCGUAGUCGAUGGGAAACGGGUUAAUAUUCCCGUACUUGGUGUUACUGCGAAGGGGGGACGGAGAAGGCUAUGUUGGCCGGGCGACGGUUGUCCCGGUUUAAGCGUGUAGGUGUGUGUUCCAGGUAAAUCCGGUUCACUUUAACACUGAGGCGUGACGACGAGGCACUACGGUGCUGAAGCAACAAAUGCCCUGCUUCCAGGAAAAGCCUCUAAGCAUCAGGUAACAUCAAAUCGUACCCCAAACCGACACAGGUGGUCAGGUAGAGAAUACCAAGGCGCUUGAGAGAACUCGGGUGAAGGAACUAGGCAAAAUGGUGCCGUAACUUCGGGAGAAGGCACGCUGACACGUAGGUGAAGUGAUUUACUCAUGGAGCUGAAGUCAGUCGAAGAUACCAGCUGGCUGCAACUGUUUAUUAAAAACACAGCACUGUGCAAACACGAAAGUGGACGUAUACGGUGUGACGCCUGCCCGGUGCCGGAAGGUUAAUUGAUGGGGUCAGCGCAAGCGAAGCUCCUGAUCGAAGCCCCGGUAAACGGCGGCCGUAACUAUAACGGUCCUAAGGUAGCGAAAUUCCUUGUCGGGUAAGUUCCGACCUGCACGAAUGGCGUAAUGAUGGCCAGGCUGUCUCCACCCGAGACUCAGUGAAAUUGAACUCGCUGUGAAGAUGCAGUGUACCCGCGGCAAGACGGAAAGACCCCGUGAACCUUUACUAUAGCUUGACACUGAACAUUGAGCCUUGAUGUGUAGGAUAGGUGGGAGGCUUUGAAGUGUGGACGCCAGUCUGCAUGGAGCCGACCUUGAAAUACCACCCUUUAAUGUUUGAUGUUCUAACGUGGACCCGUUACCCGGGUUGCGGACAGUGUCUGGUGGGUAGUUUGACUGGGGCGGUCUCCUCCUAAAGAGUAACGGAGGAGCACGAAGGUUGGCUAAUCCUGGUCGGACAUCAGGAGGUUAGUGCAAUGGCAUAAGCCAGCUUGACUGCGAGCGUGACGGCGCGAGCAGGUGCGAAAGCAGGUCAUAGUGAUCCGGUGGUUCUGAAUGGAAGGGCCAUCGCUCAACGGAUAAAAGGUACUCCGGGGAUAACAGGCUGAUACCGCCCAAGAGUUCAUAUCGACGGCGGUGUUUGGCACCUCGAUGUCGGCUCAUCACAUCCUGGGGCUGAAGUAGGUCCCAAGGGUAUGGCUGUUCGCCAUUUAAAGUGGUACGCGAGCUGGGUUUAGAACGUCGUGAGACAGUUCGGUCCCUAUCUGCCGUGGGCGCUGGAGAACUGAGGGGGGCUGCUCCUAGUACGAGAGGACCGGAGUGGACGCAUCACUGGUGUUCGGGUUGUCAUGCCAAUGGCACUGCCCGGUAGCUAAAUGCGGAAGAGAUAAGUGCUGAAAGCAUCUAAGCACGAAACUUGCCCCGAG
rnacentral:rRNA from 1 species